rnacentral:tmRNA from 1 species
GGGGAUGUACCGGUUUCGACGGGAAUCUUGUUGUAGGAAAAAGCGAGCCGUUGUUCGCGAAACAACGUUAAAAAAGAGCACCUAAAUAUAAACGCAAACGAAAAUAACGAAUUUGCAUUCGCUGCUUAAUUAAAAGCGGCACAUUCCCUGUCCCAUCUCUCGUACGGACUACGGAAUCUCAAUUCACGAGUUGAAUAAUGAGGGGAUGCUUUUAGCCUUAUUAUUUCAUGAAAAGCUACCUUAUACUCGAUUUUGUUUGUUUAUAGGUAAAAGGGAAAUUUAAAACAAACUGCGCUCGGAGAGGUUUUCUACGAGGGGUUUUCGGACGCGAGUUCGAUUCUCGCCAUCUCCACCA